rnacentral:lncRNA from 1 species
GCUUAUAUUGUAGGUUAGAUGUGCCCAAGUAGCCAACUGAUGUGCCACUAGCUGUGGAUUGCUAAUGACCCUUAAGUGUUGGUGAUGCACCAAGUGUGGUUUCUAGUGCGCCAAUAUUGCUUGCUAAUGCACCAACUAGUGUGCCAGCGUUCCUUGCUGAUGCGCCAUUUGUACUGUCCAUGACAUGGCCAGAUGCGCAAGGCAUGUGGUCGUGUUCUGCAGCUCCGUUGGUUAGAUCCUAUACUGUCUCGGUCAGAUGUGCUUGAUCGUGGCUCAUAUGGUGUUUGGACACGAUGCAUGUCCUCUCUGUCAGACUGUCUUGGUCGUGGCUCGUCACCUCCGUGUAUGGUGUAUGCUUCUCUCGACCAUUUGACUUGUCACCUCGGUUAGAUUUCUUGGGUCAUGGCACAUGCUUCUCGCUAUUAGAUGGCUCAACAUCUCAGUCACGAUUUCUGGACAUAGCUUGAUUAUU